GAUGAACGCUGGCGGCGUGCUUAACACAUGCAAGUAGAACGAAGCACUUUAUUUUAUUUCCUUCGGGACUGUUUAUUUUGUGACUGAGUGGCGGACGGGUGAGUAACGCGUGGGUAACCUGCCUUGUACAGGGGGAUAACAGUUGGAAACGGCUGCUAAUACCGCAUAAGCGCACAGCAUCGCAUGAAGCAGUGUGAAAAACUCCGGUGGUAUAAGAUGGACGCGCGUUGGAUGAGCUAGCUGGUGAGGUAACGGCCCACCAAGGCGACGAUCCAUAGCCGAGCUGAGAGGGUGGCCCGCCACAUUAGGAGUGGGACACGGCGCGAACUCCUGGGAGAGGCAGCAAUGGGGAACAUUGCACAAUGGGCGAGAGCCUGAUGCAGCCGGGCCGCGUGAGCGAAGUAGUAGUGCAGUAUGUAUAGCACUAUCAGCAGUGAAGAUAAUGACGGUACCUGACUAAGAAGCAACGGCUAAAUACGUG
rnacentral:rRNA from 1 species